AUGAAAGGUAGAGCUGUACAUUUGUCCAGACCCAAACCCUCUCCACAUCCUCACCAGCUCAUGAAACCCUCUCCACAUCAUCACCAGGCCAUGAAACCCUCUCCACAUCAUCUCCAGGUCAUGAAACCCUCUCCACAUCAUCUCCGGGUCAUGAAACCCUCUCCACAUCAUCACCAGGCCAUGAAACCCUCUCCACAUCAUCUCCAGGUCAUGAAACCCUCUCCACAUCAUCUCCGGGUCAUGAAACCCUCUCCACAUCAUAUCCGGGUCAUGAAACCCUCUCCACAUCAUAUCCGGGUCAUGAGAUCAGAGAGUUUUCUUCAGUUUAGAUUUAUUCUCCUGACGCUUGCUAU
rnacentral:lncRNA from 13 species